rnacentral:rRNA from 1 species
AGAGUUUGAUCCUGGCUCAGGAUGAACGCUAGCUACAGGCUUAACACAUGCAAGUCGAGGGGCAGCAUGGUCUUAGCUUGCUAAGGCCGAUGGCGACCGGCGCACGGGUGAGUAACACGUAUCCAACCUGCCGUCUACUCUUGGACAGCCUUCUGAAAGGAAGAUUAAUACAAGAUGGCAUCAUGAGUUCACAUGUUCACAUGAUUAAAGGUAUUCCGGUAGACGAUGGGGAUGCGUUCCAUUAGAUAGUAGGCGGGGUAACGGCCCACCUAGUCUUCGAUGGAUAGGGGUUCUGAGAGGAAGGUCCCCCACAUUGGAACUGAGACACGGUCCAAACUCCUACGGGAGGCAGCAGUGAGGAAUAUUGGUCAAUGGGCGCAGGCCUGAACCAGCCAAGUAGCGUGAAGGAUGACUGCCCUAUGGGUUGUAAACUUCUUUUAUAUGGGAAUAAAGUUUUCCACGUGUGGAAUUUUGUAUGUACCAUAUGAAUAAGGAUCGGCUAACUCCGUGCCAGCAGCCGCGGUAAUACGGAGGAUCCGAGCGUUAUCCGGAUUUAUUGGGUUUAAAGGGAGCGUAGAUGGAUGUUUAAGUCAGUUGUGAAAGUUUGCGGCUCAACCGUAAAAUUGCAGUUGAUACUGGAUAUCUUGAGUGCAGUUGAGGCAGGCGGAAUUCGUGGUGUAGCGGUGAAAUGCUUAGAUAUCACGAAGAACUCCGAUUGCGAAGGCAGCUUACUGGAUUGUAACUGACGCUGAUGCUCGAAAGUGUGGGUAUCAAACAGGAUUAGAUACCCUGGUAGUCCACACAGUAAACGAUGAAUACUCGCUGUUUGCGAUAUACAGUAAGCGGCCAAGCGAAAGCAUUAAGUAUUCCACCUGGGGAGUACGCCGGCAACGGUGAAACUCAAAGGAAUUGACGGGGGCCC